CACGUGAGCAAUCUGCYCCUGACUCUGGGAUAAGCGCUGGAAACGGCGUCUAAUACUGGAUACGAACCGUGGAGGCAUCUUCAACGGUUGGWAAGAUUUUYUGGUCAGGGAUGAGCUCGCKGCCUAUCAGCUUGUUGGUGAGGUAAUGGCUCACCAAGGCGUCGACGGGUAGCCGGCCUGAGAGGGUGACCGGCCACACUGGGACUGAGACACGGCCCAGACUCCUACGGGAGGCAGCAGUGGGGAAUAUUGCACAAUGGGCGCAAGCUGAUGCAGCAACGCCGCGUGAGGGAUGACGGCCUUCGGGUUGUAAACCUCUUUUAGCAGGGAAGAAGCGAAAGUGACGGUACCUGCAGAAAAAGCGCCGGCUAACUACGUGCCAGCAGCCGCGGUAAUACGUAGGGCGCAAGCKUUAUCCGGAAUUAUUGGGCGUAAAGAGCUCGUAGGCCGGUUUGUCGCGUCUGCUGUGAAAAUCCCGAGGCUCAACCUCGGGUCUGCAGUGGGGUACGGGCCARACCUARARAUGCGGGUAAGGGGAGAAUUGGAAAUUCCUGGGUGUAGCGGUGGAAAUGCGCCAGAUAUCAAGGGAGGAACAACCGGAUUGGGCGAAAGGCAAGAAUCUUCUGGGCCGUAACUGACGCUGAGGAGCGAAAGGGUGGGGAGCAAACAGGCUUAGAUACCCUGGUAGUCCACCCCGUAAACGUUGGGGACCUAGUUGUGGGGUCCAUUCCACGGAUUCCGUGACGCAGCUAACGCAUUAAGUUCCCCGCCUGGRGAGUACGGCCGCAAGGCUAAAACUCAAAGGAAUUGACGGGGACCCGCACAMGCGGCGGAGCAUGCGGAUUAAUUCGAUGCAACGCGAAGAACCUUACCAAGGCUUGACAUAUACGAGAACGCUGCAGAAAUGUAGAACUCUUUGGACACUCGUAAACAGGUGGUGCAUGGUUGUCGUCAGCUCGUGUCGUGAGAUGUUGGGUUAAGUCCCGCAACGAGCGCAACCCUCGUUCUAUGUUGCCAGCACGUAAUGGUGGGAACUCAUGGGAUACUGCCGGGGUCAACUCGGAGGAAGGUGGGGAUGACGUCAAAUCAUCAUGCCCCUUAUGUCUUGGGCUUCACGCAUGCUACAAUGGCCGGUACAAAGGGCUGCAAUACCGUAAGGUGGAGCGAAUCCCAAAAAGCCGGUCCCAGUUCGGAUUGAGGUCUGCAACUCGACCUCAUGAAGUCGGAGUCGCUAGUAAUCGCAGAUCAGCAACGCUGCGGUGAAUACGUUCCCGGGUCUUGUACACAC
rnacentral:rRNA from 1 species